rnacentral:rRNA from 1 species
CCUACGGGUGGCAGCAGUGGGGAAUCUUCCGCAAUGGACGAAAGUCUGACGGAGCAACGCCGCGUGAGUGAUGACGGCCUUCGGGUUGUAAAGCUCUGUUAAUCGGGACGAAAGGCCUUCUUGCGAAUAGUUAGAAGGAUUGACGGUACCGGAAUAGAAAGCCACGGCUAACUACGUGCCAGCAGCCGCGGUAAUACGUAGGUGGCAAGCGUUGUCCGGAAUUAUUGGGCGUAAAGCGCGCGCAGGCGGAUUGGUCAGUCUGUCUUAAAAGUUCGGGGCUUAACCCCGUGAUGGGAUGGAAACUGCCAAUCUAGAGUAUCGGAGAGGAAAGUGGAAUUCCUAGUGUAGCGGUGUAAUGCGUAGAUAUUAGGAAGAACACCAGUGGCGAAGGCGACUUUCUGGACGAAAACUGACGCUGAGGCGCGAAAGCCAGGGGAGCGAACGGGAUUAGAUACCCCUGUAGUC